GGCAGCGCCCGCCGGACGCUGGACACAGACGUGACCCCAGACCGCCUGGCCUUGGGUGGAUCGGGUCUCUGGGCAGAGCGUGUGUCCGGCAGAGCUAGGACCGGAAAAAGCCACUCUAGGUCUAGGUUAGGAGUGAUGACAGUUAAAAGAUAUAUAAGGAAAAGAAGGAAAGGAUCGUUUCUGUAUAAAACGAGCUAUUUUUGCAUAUCGAGCGCAUAAGUUUUAUAACUUAGGUGUCUGUUUAUGGAGAGGGUGGGAUACUACCUUUUAGCUCAAGGAGUGCACAAAACGGUAUCAUGAAUUCUGCUCUUUUGAUUCAAACACCCAACUUUGAAGAAUCGCUCAUGGUGCUUGUAAAACACGUAUCCCCAGAUCCCUCCCUAGACCUAUCGAACAACUCCAACGGUCUCGGGAAUGUGCGUGGUUUCUGAAAAGCUUGGGAAGCAAGACCUGACUAGACCCCCAAAUCUGAUAUUGGCUGAAUGGCCGACCAAUGGAGUGCAUAAGAAGGCCGUUCAUUUAAAAUACAGGUAAGCAAGGAGAUGAAUGCUACAACAGCAGAAAAAUGUGGCUUUUCCCAAAUUCAUUAGCAUACCAAAGGCUAAAGCAGACCUUGUCCUAGAAAGUUCUAUCAGUGCCAACACUCCACUUUGCAGCACUUACCUACAUUUUCUACUAGAGAUCUCAGAAAUGAGACAAAUGGAAAAUGGUGAAGAACGUACAGACAGCAACCAAAGUUAACAGCAGGAAGACUGAAGACAUGAGGCGGUGAACCUCCAGUAAUGAAAGGACACUUUACUAAAGAUAUCUUAAGACAGCUGGGCGCGGUGGCUCACACCUGUAAUCCCAGCACUUUGGGAGGCCAAGGCAGG
rnacentral:lncRNA from 1 species